rnacentral:rRNA from 1 species
AGAAUCAACGCUGGCGGCGUGCCUAACACAUGCAAGUCGCACGAGAAAGGGACUUCGGUCUUGAGUAAAGUGGCGCACGGGUGAGUAACACGUGACUAAUCUACCCUCGAGUGGGGAAUAACUGAGAGAAAUCUUAGCUAAUACCGCAUAACACUUACGAGUCAAAGCAGCAAUGCGCUUGGGGAGGAGGUCGCUGCCGAUUAGCUAGUUGGCGGGGUAAUGGCCCACCAAGGCGAUGAUCGGUAUCCGGCCUGAGAGGGCGCACGGACACACUGGAACUGAAACACGGUCCAGACUCCUACGGGAGGCAGCAGUGGGGAAUUUUGCGCAAUGGGGGAAACCCUGACGCAGCAACGCCGCGUGGAGGAUGAAGUAUCUUGGUACGUAAACUCCUUUCGAUGGGGAAGAUAAUGACGGUACCCAUAGAAGAAGCCCCGGCUAACUUCGUGCCAGCAGCCGC